CCUACGGGAGGCAGCAGUGGGGAAUAUUGGACAAUGGGCGAAAGCCUGAUCCAGCCACGCCGCGUGCGUGAAGAAGGUCUUCGGAUUGUAAAGCACUUUAAGUUGGGAGGAAGGGCAGUAACUUAAUACGUUGCUGUCUUGACGUUACCGACAGAAUAAGCACCGGCUAACUCUGUGCCAGCAGCCGCGGUAAU
rnacentral:rRNA from 1 species